GCGCGGUGUGGUGAAAUUGGUAGACACACUAGAUUUAGGUUCUAGCGGCGAAAGCUGUGUGGGGUUCAAGUCCCUCCACCCGCACCA
rnacentral:tRNA from 1 species